UUUCACAAAUAAAAUUAUGGAAGAGAUUCCAACUGGAUUUGAAAUCCAAAUUAACUCAACCUGUGGCAGAAUGACUUCAUGAACAAGUCCCUGGAAUAUUUGAGACUUUCAAGCCGGCACAUCUGCAAAGACUGGGCAAUCAAGAACCAUGAGUAACAAUAGUGAAGCUGGACCCAGAGAAGGCAAGGCAAACGCUUUCUUAUCGUGGAGAAACAGUACUCCUCAAACUGUCAGACCUCAUCAGGGGAGUUGAACAAGAAUUAUAAAGCCAGGCUAAAUCAAGGCAUCAGCUGAGAAGGUAAAAUUCAUCUGCAGGUGAGCUUUCUUUUAGCCACUUCUUUCACCAGAGCCUCCCUGAUGCUGCUCUGUAAAUGCCAGGACAGAGGAGGCCAAGACGUUGCAGGAGAAUGAAUUAAAUUUCUUUGGGAGCAGUUGUCACUGGAUAACUCAAGUGGAAAGAAAAAAAAAAAAAAAAAAAAAACCAACAUUAGCUGAAAAGAUCUGCAGUCGUCCGUAGAUCCAGGUCUUUGUAACAGGAGCUGUGGUUAGUCUCUUGCUG
rnacentral:lncRNA from 1 species